CAGGGGAUAUAUCAAACAGGUAGAUUAUUAAACUUAAGAGCGGGAGGUUAUAGGUUCAAGUCCUAUUCCCUUGA
rnacentral:tRNA from 1 species